UUUUUUAACUGAAACUAUAGGAGAACAGACAAUUUAUGGAACUGUCAGGAGAUAGUUAACGGUACAAAUUUUUAUUGAUAUAUGGCCAAAAUCAAAGAAGGGUGUUGGUAACCAACAAGUCAGAGGAGACCUCAAAACAGGAGCUGCUUAGGGUGGUGUGCACAACAUUUGGAGUGAAAGAAGAAGAUAUUUUUCCUGCAGACAUGGCAAGACAAAUUCUACGAUUUUGCAGACAUGGAAGAGGACGAACUUGUGACAGGGCCAUUGAGAGUAAAAAUUACAAACUACCUGUGGUCCUCGGUGCACAGCAACUGGUGAAUGGUGGAGAGCACAUAGAGUGGAUGAGCACUGAACAAAAGGCAGCCAGACUUCAAGAGAGUUGAGUUCUGCAUGCAGAAGACACUGGCAGACAGAAGGGCAUGGAUCAUAAAUUCUGUCCCUCGGCCAAGGAUCACUGAUGACCGACUGAAGUAUCCUUGGCUCUUUGAUGAGGAUCAGGUAAUCUAUGCAGAGUUUUCUCACCAGAUUUUGAAAUAUACUGAAUAUCCCGAGAUUGAUUGAAUGCUGACGGACGUUGAUAGAGUUGCUUACUCAAUGUUUCCCUAUUACAGUGAUUUACAGAAUGUAUUGGAAACUUCUAACUCCACAUGGAUUAUCCAAACUUGCUCAUAAACUUAAUUUAUUCAAGACUGCGUAAGGUGUGAACUUCAUAUGUGGUCCUUGUAUGUAAAAUUCAGGUUAUUUUCUUGUCAAAGCAAUAUCACCUAAACAGCUUGAGGUAUGGAUGUAAAAACUUGGUGUUUAACAUGUACCAUCAUUAGGAAGACGAUUUGAAUGGAUUUUGGAAUAUGUAGGUCAAAGGUCAAUUUGUGAAAUUUAUUUGUUUAAACACAUGGGCCCGUAUUCUGAUAGCAGGUUUAAUUUAACCCUAGUCUAAAGUUAACCCUAGUUUAAUUAAACCUCCUCUAAACCUCACCUCUGGUCAAAGUGUAGUUUAAUUAUUUUGGUAUUCUGAUAGCCGGGUUUAACUAAACCUGGGUUAAACCCGGGUUUAAAAUUCUUUUUGAAAAUAAUAACCCUCUUUUAACCAAGACUAGCACCUUUUUGGUAAAUUACUGCUGCAGGGGUGAUUGCAACAAAGUUGAAAAAAUGGCACUAAAGUCGUUUUUUCUUUAAAAAAUUGAUAUUAUGGAAACUAAUAACAACUAUUGUAGUGAAAGAAAAGCAUUCAUCACCCAUAUAUGGUAAGAAAUUUUCAUUUCAAUUAUAUUUAUUUUUGUUAAUUACUAAAACAUUUCAACCCCAAACCGAGUGACCUGCACAGUUUUUUGAGUAUCAGUCCCAUUUAUUUAUUUUCAUGUUUGUCAAAAUCUAAAUUGAAUAGAUUCCCCUCAACCACUCUAGACUAGAGUCUAGACCCUAGUCCUAGAUCUAAAACAAUAAGCUAAGAGGUCGACGUCUUUAUUCUAACUUUAAGUAAGGGAAUUUUUUAUAACUUUUGAGAGUAGUCUUGGGUCUAAAUAGGCCUAUAGUUAGAUCUGGCCUAGGCCCAAUUGUUUGGAGGAGAAUUGAACAUAGUUUUUACUAACUAAGUUAGGCCUAGGCCUAUUUGAUUUUUUUUUUACU